rnacentral:rRNA from 1 species
UAGAGUUUGAUCAUGGCUCAGAUUGAACGCUGGCGGCAGGCCUAACACAUGCAAGUCGAGCGGUAACAGAGAUUAGCUUGCUAAUCUGCUGACGAGCGGCGGACGGGUGAGUAAUGCCUAGGAAGUUGCCCGGUAGAGGGGGAUAACCAUUGGAAACGAUGGCUAAUACCGCAUAAUGCCUACGGGCCAAAGAGGGGGAUCUUCGGACCUCUCGCGUCAAGAUAUGCCUAAGUGGGAUUAGCUAGUUGGUGAGGUAAUGGCUCACCAAGGCGACGAUCCCUAGCUGGUCUGAGAGGAUGAUCAGCCACACUGGAACUGAGACACGGUCCAGACUCCUACGGGAGGCAGCAGUGGGGAAUAUUGCACAAUGGGCGAAAGCCUGAUGCAGCCAUGCCGCGUGUAUGAAGAAGGCCUUCGGGUUGUAAAGUACUUUCAGUUGUGAGGAAGGGUGUGUAGUUAAUAGCUGCACAUCUUGACGUUAGCAACAGAAGAAGCACCGGCUAACUCCGUGCCAGCAGCCGCGGUAAUACGGAGGGUGCGAGCGUUAAUCGGAAUUACUGGGCGUAAAGCGCAUGCAGGUGGUUCAUUAAGUCAGAUGUGAAAGCCCGGGGCUCAACCUCGGAACUGCAUUUGAAACUGGUGAACUAGAGUACUGUAGAGGGGGGUAGAAUUUCA